AAUAGAUACCCUGGUAGUCCACGCCGUAAACGAUGCAUGCUAGACGUUGGAGGGCUUAGCUCUCUUGUGUCGCAGCUAACGCAUUAAGCAUGCCGCCUGGGGAGUACGGCCGCAAGGUUGAAACUCAAAUGAAUUGACGGGGGCCCGCACAAGCGGUGGAGUAUGUGGUUUAAUUCGACGCAACGCGAAGAACCUUACCAGCCUUUGACAUGUCCACUAUGGGCCUGAGAGAUCAGGUCCUUCACUUCGGGUGGGUGGAACACAGGUGCUGCAUGGCUGUCGUCAGCUCGUGUCGUGAGAUGUUGGGUUAAGUCCCGCAACGAGCGCAACCCUCAUCUUCAGUUGCCCCCGGGUUAUGCCGGGCACUCUGAAGAAACCGCCGGUGACAAGCCGGAGGAAGGCGGGAUGACGUCAAGUCCUCAUGGCCCUUACAGGCUGGGCUACACACGUACUACAAUGGUGGUGACAAUGGGCAGCGAGAGCGCAAGCUGGAGCUAAUCCCCAAAAGCC
rnacentral:rRNA from 1 species